rnacentral:rRNA from 1 species
AACGAACGCUGACGGCAGGCCUAACACAUGCAAGUCGAGCGGACCUUUCGGGGUCAGCGGCGGACGGGUGAGUGACGCGUGGGAAUAUGCCCUUCUCUACGGAAUAGUCCUGGGAAACUGGGGGUAAUACCGUAUACGCCCUUUGGGGGAAAGAUUUAUCGGGGAAGGAUUAGCCCGCGUUGGAUUAGGUAGUUGGUGGGGUAAUGGCCUACCAAGCCGACGAUCCAUAGCUGGUUUGAGAGGAUGAUCAGCCACACUGGGACUGAGACACGGCCCAGACUCCUACGGGAGGCAGCAGUGGGGAAUCUUAGACAAUGGGGGCAACCCUGAUCUAGCCAUGCCGCGUGAGUGAUGAAGGCCUUAGGGUUGUAAAGCUCUUUCAGCUGGGAAGAUAAUGACGGUACCAGCAGAAGAAGCCCCGGCUAACUCCGUG